UGGUAACACCAACUGGGACUAAAGGUCCCUCCCCAACGGCUCCAGUGUCAGGCGCUGUCGGGGAGGGACCUUUAGUCCCGGUUGGUGUUACCAA
rnacentral:pre_miRNA from 1 species